UACGUAGGCAGCAAGCGUUGUUCGGAGUUACUGGGCGUAAAGGGUGCGUAGGCGGCUCUAUAAGUAUGGUGUGAAAUCUCCCGGCUUAACUGGGAGGGUGCGCUAUAGACUGUGGGGCUAGAGUGCGGGAGAGGAAAGUGGAAUUCCUGGUGUAGCGGUGAAAUGCGUAGAUAUCAGGAGGAACACCGGUGGUGUAAACGGCUUUCUGGACCGUAACUGACGCUGAUGCACGAAAGCGUGGGGUAGCAAACAGG
rnacentral:rRNA from 1 species